GAAGGCGGGCUGGAACCUCUCGGGGUUACAGCCUUGCUGAAUUAUUCACCCUUGUCUUUUGCGUACUUCUUGUUUCCUUGGUGGGUUCGCCCACCACUAGGACAAACAUAAACCUUUUGUAAUUGCAAUCAGCGUCAGUAACAAAUUAAUAAUUACAACUUUCAACAACGGAUCUCUUGGUUCUGGCAUCGAUGAAGAACGCAGCGAAAUGCGAUAAGUAGUGUGAAUUGCAGAAUUCAGUGAAUCAUCGAAUCUUUGAACGCACAUUGCGCCCUUUGGUAUUCCAAAGGGCAUGCCUGUUCGAGCGUCAUUUGUACCCUCAAGCUUUGCUUGGUGUUGGGCGUCUUGUCUCUAGCUUUGCUGGAGACUCGCCUUAAAGUAAUUGGCAGCCGGCCUACUGGUUUCGGAGCGCAGCACAAGUCGCACUCUCUAUCAGCAAAGGUCUAGCAUCCAUUAAGCCUUUUUUUCAACUUUUGACCUCGGAUCAGGUAGGGAUACCCGCUGAACUUAAGCAUAUCAAUAAGCGGAGGAA
rnacentral:rRNA from 1 species